CGCCUCUUGAAUUAAUAUAAGAGGUCCAGCCUGCCCAGUGACCCUGUUCAACGGCCGCGGUAUCCUAACCGUGCGAAGGUAGCGUAAUCACUUGUUCUUUAAAUGAGGACUAGUAUGAACGGCAUCACGAAGGUUAUACUGUCUCCUUUUUCUAAUCAGUGAACCUAAUCUCCCCGUGAAGAAGCGGGAAUAUAACUAUAAGACGAGAAGACCCUAUGGAGCUUAAAACAACACAGCACUUGCUAAAAAACUAAGCAUUCCCGAAUUUUUACUUUCUAGGCAACAUGACUGUAAGUUUUUGGUUGGGGUGACCACGGAGUACAAUAUAACCUCCAUGUUGAAAGAAUUUUUUUCUAAGCCAAAAAUUACACUUUUAAGCAUCAAUAAAUUGACAUCUGUUGACCCAAUAUAUUUGAACAACGAACCAAGUUACCCUAGGGAUAACAGCGCAAUCCACUUCAAGAGCUCCUAUCGACAAGUGGGUUUACGACCUCGAUGUUGGAUCAGGGUUUCCCAGUGGUGCAGCCGCUACUAAAGGUUCGUUUGUUCAACGAUUAAAACCCU
rnacentral:rRNA from 1 species